GAGGGUAUAGCUCAGUGGUGGAGUGCAUGCCUAGUAUGCACAAGGUCCUGGGUUCAAUUCCCAGGACUUCUG
rnacentral:tRNA from 1 species